AUUGAACGCUGGCGGCAUGCCUUACACAUGCAAGUCGAACGGCAGCACGGGGCAACCUGGUGGCGAGUGGCGAACGGGUGAGUAAUGCAUCGGAACGUACCUUUCAGUGGGGGAUAACGUAGCGAAAGUUACGCUAAUACCGCAUAUUCUGUGAGCAGGAAAGCAGGGGAUCGCAAGACCUUGCGCUGAUUGAGCGGCCGAUGUCAGAUUAGCUAGUUGGUGAGGCAAAGGCUCACCAAGGCGACGAUCUGUAGCGGGUCUGAGAGGAUGAUCCGCCACACUGGAAUUGAGACACGGUCCAGAUUCCUACGGGAGGCAGAAGUGGGGAAUUUUGGACAAUGGGGGCAACCCUGAUCCAGCCAUGCCGCGUGAGUGAAGAAGGCCUUCGGGUUGUAAAGCUCUUUCGGCCGGGAAGAAAUCGCACGGGCUAAUACCCUGUGUGGAUGACGGUACCGGAAUAAGAAGCACCGGCUAACUACGUGCCAGCCGCCGCCGUAAAAC
rnacentral:rRNA from 1 species